CAGUCGUGCGAGAAGGUUCCUUCGGGGACUGAGUAGAGCGGCGCACGGGUGAGUAACGCGUGGGUGACCUACCUAGGAGAUCGGGAUAACAGCGGGAAACUGCUGCUAAUACCGGCUACGCUUCAUAUUUCACGUAUGGGGGAAAGGCGGCCUCUGCUUGCAAGCUGCCGCUCUUAGAUGGGCCCGCGUCUCAUUAGCUUGUUGGUGGGGUAAUGGCCUACCAAGGCUACGAUGAGUAGCUGGUCUGAGAGGAUGAUCAGCCACACUGGGACUGAAACACGGCCCAGACUCCUACGGGAGGCAGCAGUGGGGAAUAUUGCGCAAUGGGCGAAAGCCUGACGCAGCGACGCCGCGUGAGGGAAGAAGGCCUUCGGGUCGUAAACCUCUGUCUAGAGGGAAGAAACCAUUGAGGUCGAACAGGCCUCUUUGCUGACGGUACCUCUGAAGGAAGCACCGGCUAACUCCGUGCCAGCAGCCGCGGUAAUACGGAGGGUGCGAGCGUUAAUCGGAAUCACUGGGCGUAAAGCGCACGUAGGCGGUGUCGUAAGUCGGAUGUGAAAGCCCUCGGCUCAACCGGGGAACUGCAUUCGAUACUGCGAUGCUUGAGUGCCGGAGAGGGUGGCGGAAUUCCAGGUGUAGGAGUGAAAUCCGUAGAUAUCUGGAGGAACACCAGUGGCGAAGGCGGCCACCUGGCCGGCAACUG
rnacentral:rRNA from 1 species